ACUAACGAGCGCAACCCCUACCUUAGUUGCCAUCAGGUUAAGCUGGGGACUCUAAGGAACUGCCUACGCAAGUAGUGAGGAAGGCGGGGAUGACGUCAAAUCAGCACGGCCCUUACGUCCAGGGCUACACACGUGCUACAAUGGCCGAUACAGAGGGCAGCUACCUGGUGACAGGAUGCAAAUCUCCAAAGUCGGUCUCAGUUCGGGUCGGAGUCUGCAACCCGACUCCGUGAAGUUGGAUUCGCUAGUAAUCGCGCAUCAGCCAUGGCGCGGUGAAUACGUUCCCGGGCCUU
rnacentral:rRNA from 1 species